rnacentral:rRNA from 1 species
GACGAACGCUGGUGGCGUGCUUAACACAUGCAAGUCGAACGGAAAGGCCCUGCUUUUGUGGGGUGCUCGAGUGGCGAACGGGUGAGUAACACGUGAGUAACCUGCCCUUGACUUUGGGAUAACUUCAGGAAACUGGGGCUAAUACCGGAUAGGAGCUCCUGCUGCAUGGUGGGGGUUGGAAAGUUUCGGCGGUUGGGGAUGGACUCGCGGCUUAUCAGCUUGUUGGUGGGGUAGUGGCUUACCAAGGCUUUGACGGGUAGCCGGCCUGAGAGGGUGACCGGCCACAUUGGGACUGAGAUACGGCCCAGACUCCUACGGGAGGCAGCAGUGGGGAAUAUUGCACAAUGGGCGGAAGCCUGAUGCAGCAACGCCGCGUGCGGGAUGACGGCCUUCGGGUUGUAAACCGCCUUCGCCUGUGACGAAGCGUGAGUGACGGUAAUGGGUAAAGAAGCACCGGCUAACUACGUG